UCUGGACGUGGGACAUCUUUUUUUACCAUCUUUAUUGUUUUUUUAACAUGUUGUCUUUUGUUAUGUGUUAUUAGCUAUGGUUAUUAGUCAUGUUCGACUUCAUGCAGCGCUGCGAGAACAGACAUCAUACGUUGAUGACGUCAAUGUAUCGCGAGAGCGAGUCAAGAAAUUACACUCUCGCGGUACAUUGACGUUAUCAACCUGUCAGCGCAGCAAGAAGUCGAGCACACGUAUUUGCGGGCGCGCGCCUCCGUCCUCGUGAGUUCAAAGUGGAUUUUAACCGUUUACCUCCGACGACAGUUUUCAUUUCUAUGGCAAAUUCUAAGGUCAUUUUCUUGUUGUGUUUUGAUGUUUUCCAUUGGCUGAAGACUAAGAUGAGCCUGAAGAGGAGAUUUGGGAAGUCUUUGCUUUGCCAGAUCACCUGUGGUCGGGAUGUCUGCUAACAAGAUGCCUUGUUGGUCUGGGCAAGUUUGAAGUCUCUCACAGACAGUCCAGAAGGUCUGGAGUCCAUCUUAGCUUUUAUUGAUGCUGUCAUCAGAUUUUAAGUACAGUAUGAGCCAGAAUGGAAGGGUGUUGGUGGCCAUAAGAAGACUGUGAGCUAAACCUACAACAAAAUUCAUAUUUGCAGUUUUCCUAGAAUAUUUUUUUCUAUUCAGAUGAAUAAAAUUACUUUAAAAUAUUAUUUUGUUUUCAUAUUUUAUGUUUUUAUUCUGUAUUUGGAAUAUUCCACUUCUGCACUACUAACUGGAAACCUAACUGUUUGAAAGAAUUUGUUUUUAUCUAUAAAAGAUCAAUUUUAA